ACCUCCUGGUCAAUGGGAGCGCAGGACUGGGCCGCCCUCGCCGCGGUCAGGUGGGCCCCCCAGCUCGCGCCCUGCGCGGCCUCGUUCGCUCUCCCGCUUCCGCUCCAUCUUGGCUCCAGCAGCUCGGCUUUUUGGUUACUCUCCAACUGCCGGGGCCGUGGCAGCUGGGACCAAGUGACCUCAGCGAACGCGAGGAGACAGUGGGUCAGAGUAAACCCGCGUUCCCGAGAAUUCGCUUGGGGCGUGGGGACAGAUGCGGACUGUCCGCUUCCGGCGACCCACAAACAUUAAUUGAGCACCUAGUAUGUGAGAGAGGAAGCUGUGAGGAGAGGAACACAGCAAGAUGAGACAAAGCCAGGGCCUGUUCUCAAGGAGCCUCUGCCUCCCUGUGCCGUCGCGGACCCUGCUCCGAGAUUCCCGGUCAUAGGUUACUAGGAUGAUUAUGCACUCUAUCUGAUAUAGGGAAAAAAUUCAGCAACUUCACCCAGAUUCUGCUAUCCCUACAAGGCUGCGUCUGAAAGACCAAAGAGAUAACCAGAGGCCUACAAAUCAAGCUAUGAGAACUACGACUUCAAGAAUAUGUGUGAAGGGGCGCCUGGGUGGCACAGCGGUUAAGCGUCUGCCUUCGGCUCAGGGCGUGAUCCCGGUGUUGUGGGAUCGAGCCCCACAUCAGGCUCCUCUUC